rnacentral:tmRNA from 1 species
GGGGGUGUAAAGGUUUCGACAGGGCGGGCAGGUCUUCCUGUAAGCGUGUCGUGGUAUUCAGGAAUCCACGUUAAUCAAUCUGAGCUAAAUGUACAUGCAGAUAAUUUUGCAUACGCUGCGUAAUUAAACACGCAGCCGUUCAUCCGGGUUUUGCCUGCGGGUCCGGAAUGAGCGCCGUUUCACAGGCUCGCAUGAUCCCGCGAUCACAGAGAUCAUGUUAAAAACAGUGAUCUGCUUUGUUCCGGGUUUUGGUUUUUGAACCGGAACAACUAAGACCAUUCAACUGCCUACACACGUAGAAAGCAUGCUGGUCUCCGCUUUGGACCCGGGUUCGAUUCCCGGCACCUCCACAC